UGUUCCUUUUUCUCUGUGCCUUGGAACCUCGUUGUCCCAGCCAGAAGCUUUGAUGGGAUGAGCAUUGACCGUGAGGCUAUCUGAAAUUGAGUCUGUAGAAAAGAAUCUCAAUGCUUUUUCAAAGUUUCCUCAGCCUUUCACUAAGACUGCCUUAACAUUUAGCUCGCUUUUGAGGUCUGCAUUGGUUUAGGAUUGAAAAGUAGAGAAUGUUUCUCUUUAGGACUGUUCGUUUGGUUGCCGCAGGUACCGGCGGCAGCGGCAGCGUCAACAUUCUGCGUCAACUCUUGUUCGUUUCGUUGACGCAGGAAACUGCGUCUGACGCCGCGUCCUGCGGCUGACGCCGCGUCCUGCGGCUGACGCCGAUAAAAUCUGCGGUCGCGAUAUAGUAUGCGGCAGCGGCAGCGGCAGCGUCUGCAUCUGCGAAACGAACAACAACUGUUCUCAUUGACGCUGCCGCCGCCGCUGACGCCGAAACCUGCGGCAACCAAACGAACAGGAAUUUUGUGACAAAAAAAAAGAGAGAGAGAAUGGUUUUCUCAUGUUAAAAUGGCGUGUUAAAAAAAAGGAGUGGUGGAAUGGCUGUAAGAAGAUUGUAGUCAAGUCUGUACGAUGUGGAAACGGUUUGCUUGUGAUGAGCUUGAGGUGCUCAACACCAACUCUUCUUCCUUGCUACCUUGUUUGAUGGUUACUUCAUGUUCAUACAGUGAUGAAUCUGAUGAUGAGAUUGACUGUGAACCUGAGUCUUUUCUGAUGAGUAACGUGGGUUUGGCUGAGACUGCCCUAUAUGAAGUGAGGCACAAGUUUUGUUGUUGUUGAUAAACUGAUUGAGAUAUUGGAUCUGUUUGUUGAUGAUAACAGGAAGAUAUCAGGAAUCAAGUAUCAGAUGUCGGAGCGGAAAUAAUGAAAGAGAUGGAAUCGUCUCUCGCUCAAAGAAACUAGGAAAGAAGUGGAACCUAAACGUGAUCUACGAAAAGUCUACAUUGAAUGCUCAAGCUGGUGGGUAGCUAUCUUCUUCUAAACACCUAUUGGUAAAUCAAUCCAAGCUGCAGAAAGUGCUUUGACAUUGGAGAAGCACAGGUUGAAGAAGCUGGAAGAGUUAGAAGCAGUGAACCAGUCUCUAAAAUCAUGUUCAAAUGAGGACUUUAGCAUCUUUGAAAAAACAAAUUGCAAGGGCCAUAAAGCAAAUAAGGGCAACAAAGGAUAAUGUAAGAUAGUCUCCACUCAAGACCCUUUUGCAGGCAGCUACGUCAUCCUUUAUGUCACCUCGCAGCAAUGGAUAUUGUUCUUGCUGAUUUUUACAAAGCUUGCAUUUACACUGUCCCAAAGCAUAUUAUUAGCUCACAUUCAGGUUGGGACUCAGACGCAUAUCACCGCCUAGCUUCUACGGUGAGACGCUACGGUGCACUUGUCCAGACCGAUAUUUGCGGUGGCAAUGCUCAUAACAUUCAUGGGAUUGAACAUGGAUGGGCUUGGUUUGCCCGGUUCCUUAACAAAAUCUCAGCCUACAGAUGCUACUACAACAGCCUUAAACGCAUUUCUCCAGACGGCAGGGUUUGGUCUAUUCAUCAGAGGUACAAAUCUCAGUUCUUAAAAGCUGCGAACGUUGUCAGAGAGCAUUUCUUGCCAAAGUUGAGGGCGAAAAAGGACGCAGCGAAUCUACAGACGAUCAUAACCGAUAUAACAGCGUACUUGGAUUACCAGAUGUAUGUAUCUCAAGGAACCUAUAGGAAGAACUAGAUCAGCAGAAUCAACAUCACCAUGGGAAUUAUUGCAGAGGUUAUCAUUGAAUUUAUGUAUCAUGCGUUAAAUAAAACUUAUCAAUUUUCUUUAGGCUGUUGUAACAUAUAAUGUUACACCAAUUAUUUGAAAAAUCAGUCACAAGAAGCUGAAUCAAGG